rnacentral:lncRNA from 1 species
AUACUGUGAACUUGUGCGUUCUCUGUUUUUGUUUUCAAAUAGGGAUACUUUAUUCCUGUAAUUUCCUUAAGGGGAAGAGGAGAUGUGGAGGAGCAGCUCAGAGGAUUCAACACAGCAGAUACGAUACGCCGCUCCAGCAAGUCUGAGGUCCAGCGCGCCACACCAGGGCUGUGGGGGACACUAUGGUGUAGAUGGACACAACACAAUGCCUUUAUUUUUAUGUGGUGCUGAGGAUCGAACCCCGGUCGCGCCCGUGCUAGGCGAGCUCUCUACCGCUGAGCCACAAUCCCAGCCCCUGGUAUAUAUAUUUAAAAAAAAAAAGCAGGAUUAAAAAAAAAAAACAACCUGUGAGCAUUGGAGGUGCUGGUUCCGUGGCUGUGUGAAGGAGUUUGCUCUCUGUCAGGGAUACCUUAAUAAACCUUGAUUUAAAUAAACUCUACUUGGGAAAAACAAGACAUUCACUCAGCAUGCUGGCAUCAAAUGGAACACUUCAGAGUGCAUUUUCUUACAUAUAAAUUGCAU